rnacentral:pre_miRNA from 1 species
CUACUCCUCCCUCCGUCCGAAAAUACUUGUCAUUGAAAUGGAUGUAUCUAGAUGUAUUUUAGUUCUAGACACAUCCAUUUUGAUGACAAGUAAUUCCGGACGGAGGGAGUAUUAU